rnacentral:lncRNA from 1 species
AUUCCCGCUCUGCACCCUUUCAUCAGGGUCUUCCCGGAACGGAUGGCAUCCCAGGGUUACCAGGGCGACCAGGUAGAACUGGACCCCCUGGUUCUCCUGGACAAAGGGGGGCACCUGGAAUUCCUGGUGACAUGCAGGAGUUGGAGGAGCAGGCAAUUAUCUUUGAGUGAUUCACAGAGGGAGUAAUGAGGAAUGAUUAUGGCUAGUCAGUAUAAAGUAUUUGCCCCCACAUUCUUUUAAA